GCCGGGAGUGGUGGUGUAAUCCUGUAACCCAACUACUAGGAGGCCUGGUAUAGAGGAUGUUUUGAGAGCGGGGGUCCAGGGGUUGGAUGCCUCAAGUAGACUAGGCGUCCGCACUAAGAUCGGCAUCAACAUGGGUGGACGGGGGAGCCCGAGGUAGCCAGGUUGGCUAAAGAGGGGCGAAUCGGGCCAGGGGGGAAACUCAGCAGCCAAAAGUUCCCGUGUUGGUCAGUAGUGGGAUAGCCCAAGAGUGUUCCCAGGAGUGGGAAUCUAGUUUCAGCCCGUCCAAUAAAAACAGACCUGUAUCUUU
rnacentral:SRP_RNA from 2 species